UACGUAGGGGGCUAGCGUUGUCCGGAUUUAUUGGGCGUAAAGAGCGUGUAGGCGGCUUUACAGGUCCGUUGUGAAAACUCGAGGCUCAACCUCGAGACGCCGGUGGAAACCGUAAGGCUAGAGUCCGGAAGAGGAGAGUGGAAUUCCUGGUGUAGCGGUGAAAUGCGCAGAUAUCAGGAGGAACACCCGUGGCGAAAGCGGCUCUCUGGGGUGCACCUGACGCUGAUGCGCGAAAGCGUGGGGAGCGAACCGG
rnacentral:rRNA from 1 species